UACGUAGGCAGCAAGCGUUGUUCGGAAUUACUGGGCGUAAAGAGUGUGUAGGCGGUGCUCUAAGUCUGUUGUGAAAUCUCCCGGCUUAACCGGGAGGGUGCGGCGGAAACUGGAGUGCUUGAGGGUGGGAGAGGUAAGCGGAAUUCCUGGUGUAGCGGUGAAAUGCGUAGAUAUCUGGAGGAACAUCGGUGGCGAAGGCGGCAUCCUGGACCGGUAUUGACGCUGAGGCGCGAAAGCCAGGGGAGCAAACGGG
rnacentral:rRNA from 1 species